CUACGGGGUGCAGCAGUGAGGAAUAUUGCGCAAUGGGCGAAAGCCUGACGCAGCAACGCCGCGUGGAUGAUGAAGGCCUUCGGGUUGUAAAAUCCUUUUUUGGGGAACGAUAAUGACGGUACCUCAAGAAUAAGUCCCGGCUAACUACGUGCCAGCAGCCGCGGUAAAACGUAGGGGGCGAGCGUUAUCCGGAUUUACUGGGCGUAAAGCGCACGUAGGCGGUGCCGUAAGUUGGAUGUGAAAGCUCCUGGCUUAACUGGGAGAGGUCGUUCAAAACUGCGGUGCUUGAGGAUAGAAGAGGAGAGUAGAAUUCCCGGUGUAGUGGUGGAAUGCGUAGAUAUCGGGAGGAAUACCAGUGGCGAAGGCGGCUCUCUGGUCUAUACCUGACGCUGAGGUGCGAAAGCGUGGGGGGCGAACGGGAUUAGAUACCCCUGUAGUC
rnacentral:rRNA from 1 species